rnacentral:rRNA from 1 species
GCUCAGUAACACGUAGCUAACCUACCCUUAGGACGAGGACAACCCCCGAGAAAUUGGGGCUAAUCCGCGAUAGGUGUGAUGUCCUGGAAUGGUAUCACGCCCAAAGGUGUUCGCACGCCUAAGGAUGGGGCUGCGGCCGAUCAGGCAGUUGGUGAGGUAACGGCUCACCAAACCUUUGACCGGUACGGGCCAUGAGAGUGGUAGCCCGGAGAUGGACACUGAGACAAGGGUCCAGGCCCUACGGGGCGCAGCAGGCGCGAAACCUCCUCAAUGCACUCACGUGCGAAGGGGUUACCUCGAGUGCCGCCUGAAGAAGGCGGCUUUUCCAUGGUCUAAAAAGCCUAGGGAAUAAGAGGGGGGCAAGACUGGUGUCAGCCGCCGCGGUAACACCAGCCCCUCGAGUGGUGGGGAUGAUUAUUUGGCCUAAAGCGUCCGUAGCCGGCCGGAUAAGUCUCCCGUUAAAUCCAGCGUCUCAAGCGUUGGACUGCGGGAGAUACUGUCUGGCUAGAGAGUGGGAGAGGUAUACGGUAUUCUGGGGGUAGGGGCGAAAUCCAUUGAUCCCCGGAGGACCACCAGUGGCGAAGGCUGUAUACUAGAACACGUCUGACGGUCAGGGACGAAAGCUGGGGUAGCGAACCGGAUUAGAUACCCGGGUAGUCCCAGCCGUAAACGAUGCACGCUAGGUGUUGGGUCGGCCACGAGCCGCCCCAGUGCCGCAGGGAAGCCAUUAAGCGUGCCGCCUGGGGAGUACGGCCGCAAGGCUGAAACUUAAAGGAAUUGGCGGGGGAGCACCACCAGGCGUGAAGCCUGCGGUUUAAUUGGAUUCAACGCCGG